CGUAACAAGGUCUCCGUUGGUGAACCAGCGGAGGGAUCAUUACUGAGUUUACGCUCUAUAACCCUUUGUGAACAUACCUAUAACUGUUGCUUCGGCGGGUAGGGUCUCCGUGACCCUCCCGGCCUCCCGCCCCCGGGCGGGUCGGCGCCCGCCGGAGGAUAACCAAACUCUGAUUUAACGACGUUUCUUCUGAGUGGUACAAGCAAAUAAUCAAAACUUUUAACAACGGAUCUCUUGGUUCUGGCAUCGAUGAAGAACGCAGCGAAAUGCGAUAAGUAAUGUGAAUUGCAGAAUUCAGUGAAUCAUCGAAUCUUUGAACGCACAUUGCGCCCGCCAGCAUUCUGGCGGGCAUGCCUGUUCGAGCGUCAUUUCAACCCUCAAGCUCUGCUUGGUGUUGGGGCCCUACAGCUGAUGUAGGCCCUCAAAGGUAGUGGCGGACCCUCCCGGAGCCUCCUUUGCGUAGUAACUUUACGUCUCGCACUGGGAUCCGGAGGGACUCUUGCCGUAAAACCCCCAAUUUUCCAAAGGUUGACCUCGGAUCAGGUAGGAAUACCCGCUGAACUUAAGCAUAUCAAUA
rnacentral:rRNA from 1 species